rnacentral:rRNA from 1 species
AUUGAACGCUGGCGGCAGGCCUAACACAUGCAAGUCGAGCGGAGCGGCGGACGGGUGAGUAAUGCCUAGGAAUCUGCCUGGUAGUGGGGGAUAACGUCCGGAAACGGGCGCUAAUACCGCAUACUAUCAGAUGAGCCUAGGUCGGAUUAGCUAGUUGGUGGGGUAAAGGCCUACCAAGGCGACGAUCCGUAACUGGUCUGAGAGGAUGACCAGUCACACGGGAACUGAGAAACGGUCCAGAAGACUACGGGUGGUAGCAGUGGGGAAUAUGGGACAAUGGGCGAAAGCCUGAUCCAGCCAUGCGGCGUGUGUGAAGAAGGUCUUCGGAUUGUAAAGCACUUUAAGUUGGGAGGCGUUACCAACAGAAUAAGCACCGGCUAACUUCGUGCCAGCAGCCGCGAGAAUUC